rnacentral:lncRNA from 1 species
AUGAUCCCCGGCGCAGACAGCCGUCUGUCCGUCUGUCUGAGCACCCGGCGUAAGGCGGGGGCAGAGAGCAGCCCCUUGCUUUUUUCCCCCCUUUCUCUUCCCCUAGGGGCAGGGAGGACCGGGGAGAGCUGCGGGAGUUCGGUGCUUUGUUUUGCUGAGAACUGCAGUGCCUCCCAGGCUUCCCCAGUAUGCAGCCUACUUCCUGCACCUGGACACAGCACAAAGAUGUUACAGCUCUCAGGAAACAGCACAUUUGUCAGCACGCAGCCCCUGGCUGAACAAAGGGCUGGAUUCAUUAAUGCAAUAUCAGACAGGAAAAUGUCCCUCCCCAGCCCUUCCCCGCCUUCUGACUCAAUCUGGUGAAACAACAACAACAAAAAAAAAGAAUUGUCAUUGGGCUUUGCAGCCUUUGAGGCUCCUCAGCAGAUCAAUAUGUCUUGGACAUGUUGAUGGCCCCUAAUUUGAACAGAACUGCACAGAAUCACAAGAAUUUGAGCUUAAAUUGCGAGCCACAUUUUUUUUUUUUUAUUCUUAAUAAGGAGAAAUAAUACCAAACUGCUACCAAAGGAGAGAUGAGAGCAGGUUCCUGCAGCAGGGAGAAGCGUGCUGUGCAUUGCAGCCCACUCUGACUCGACGUGCACCAUUUCCAGCUCUCCCUCGCCCCCAGAAGCACACACCCUUCUGACAGCAGCGUGGUGUUCGUUAGCGCUGUUUGCUCUGCCUGACAUGACAUUUAAAAGCCCGAGACCUGUACUGCAUUUAUUAGACACUGUCAUAUUCAGCAAAACAUUUAAGUAGCUAUUCAGCUGGAGGCACCUAAGUAGUCCCAAUGUCAACAACAGGACUUCUCAAAUGCUUCAGUGUAUGCAUGUGUCGAAGUACCUUGCUGAAUCAGGGCUUCAGCUGCUGAACUGGAGAGAUCGCUCCCUCCUUUACCUACAGAGCCCCACAAGCACACAUGCCUCACAACAUCGUUUGAGUUAAUUGGGUAAAAUUGCACGUGCUCAGUGACCUCAGAGAGUUCUGUGAAAAAAACACCAGUGCCACCCUGCAUGCUUAUUUCUGGGAUGAGUCACAGCCAUCUGCAUGAGAUGUGGCCGUGUCACCCAGAAUCACAGGAUUGCCAGGGUUAGAAGGGACCUCAAGAAUCAUGAAUCUCCAACGCCCCUGCCACAUGCAGGGCCACCAACCUUCCCACCUAAUGCUAGAGCCUGUGCUCUGUACUCUGUCUCGGGUGCUGGCACAUCCCCACACCCCGUGGGUGUCACACUGUGACAGAACAGACUGACAGCUUUGGUGCUGCCAUUUUUAAUGUGUUUCCUUACAUCCCUCUUUCACAGAUUAAUAAUUUCCGCUGGGCUGGAAUACUGUCAGGCUGGCAUCAGAUAACUUCCCAGACAGUGCUAUACCUGGCAUUGCCUAUUUUAUCUAAUAAAGACUUUGCUAUCUCUGGUCUAUUGCUUGUA